rnacentral:misc_RNA from 1 species
CACCAUGAUGACUGAACCCC